ACAUGCAUGGUUUGAAUGCUUGGUUUGCCCUCGCCCUUUGCGCCAUGGGCGCAACAACUAAGUCUUGGCUGGAAUACCUCACCUCGCGGCUUGCCGCUCCUCUGUAAUUGUGCUCUAUAUAUAUCAUGUGACUAGAAUCAAGGUUAGUGUUUUCUUUUGGUGCCCAUUUUCUACUUAUUUCCAGAUCUUUGUGUUUCGAUGCGAUCCCACAUGCUAAUACGAAGUUUCUCAUGCUACAUGGCUUUUCUGGGAGCAAAAUCUGAUACAGUCUGCACUUCCAUGCUUUGGGUAAGGCAUUAUUAAUCUUUUUCUGCCUUUUUAACAGAACUAAAAUUUUCAUCAUAUGAUCUCUUUUUUCCUGAUGGCUGAUGCUCGGAAAUAUAGCAUAUGACAAGCAGACAGGUAAAGAGGUUGAAGUUGGAUUAGCAGGGCAUGGUCCACUAGCCAAUUCUUUAUCUCUACUAGGUGGCGUCGAGUGACUUUGUUAAGCAGACAUUUGACCUUCGCAUUAUGAUGUUAAUUUUCAUAAAUGCAGAAAUAGGUUGAUCUGUUAAUUCGCACUGGAAUUUCGGUUAAUCCGUUCCUGGUCUCUUGCUAUAUUUGCAUAACGUUGCAGGCCGUAUUGUUCUUGAUGAUAAGGCCAUUCUCGAGGCGAUUGUACCAGCAGAUGAACGUAUUCCUGGGCGAGUUGUUAUGGCUUCAGCUGAUCUGGCUUGUGGGCUGGUGGUCAGGUAUUAAGGAUCUAAUUCUCGAUUCUUGCUUCGGUCUGAACUGUGCGAUUUAUGUUUCGUCAGAGGUUUCUGUACUAACCAUCGUUAAAUAAGGUGAGGUAUGUACUUUAGCAAACUAGGCAACACUCAGCUCUACAUUCCUGUUUUUUUUUGGGAAAAAUAAUAAUUAGCAAUACAGCUCCUAACUUGCAUAUGCUUCGUUUGUACAUUUGAGUUACUGAAACUGUGGGUCCUCACCUGAUGAUCAGGAAGUAUGGCGGUUGAGAUGCAAAUAAACAGACAUAAUCUGUAUAGUCUUACGCUUAGUUCGUAUAGUCGUAGGCUUAGUUUAUUUAUUUACUUCAAUGGCGCCAUUUGAAUUGGUUGACCGUAGUUAUCUGUUUCUGGAAUUAGCAUUAUUUCAUGAGUGAUGAAUGGUUGUGCCAUGAUUUCACAUGUCCACACUUCCACUUCAACUUGUGUGAUUUUAUUAUUGGGCAUUUAUGAAACUCAUUGUCAAUUCUGUUGUACAGGGUACCUGAGCUACUUAUGCUUUGCUAGACAAUGAGGGGGCAGUAGCAGUGCCAUUUGAUUCGAAGGACAAAGAGUUGAUUACAAAGGGGUAGCAUUCAGGAUAUAUACACACAAGAGUAUAAAACCAAAUUAUAUGAUGUAAUUGACCACUAUUUCUGUUAACUUCUCCUGUACACAAUGUUCACAAGUUCAUGUAUUAAGUACAUUUUAUU